rnacentral:rRNA from 1 species
GUGAGGAAUAUUGCGCAAUGGAGGCAACUCUGACGCAGCCAUGCCGCGUGCAGGAAGAAGGCGCUACGCGUUGUAAACUGCUUUUAACCGGGAAGAAACCCCAGGACGUGUCCUGGGUUGACGGUACCGGAGGAAUAAGCACCGGCUAACUUCGUGCCAGCAGCCGCGGUAAUACGCAGGGUGCAAGCGUUAUCCGGAUUCAUUGGGUUUAAAGGGUGCGUAGGCGGAGCGUUAAGUCAGUGGUGAAAUCCUGCAGCUUAACUGUAGACUUGCCAUUGAUACUGGCGCUCUUGAGUGCGCUUGAAGUGGGCGGAAUGUGCCGUGUAGCGGUGAAAUGCUUAGAUAUGGCACAGAACACCAAUUGCGAAGGCAGCUCACUAAGGCGAUACUGACGCUGAGGCACGAAAGCGUGGGGAUCGAACAGGAUUAGAUACCCCUGUAGUCC